UAGGCUAUAGGCCGGGGACAACCACUGGAAACGGUGGCUAAUACCGGAUGUGCCGAAAGGUGAAAGAUUUAUUGCCUGAAGAUGAGCUCGCGUCUGAUUAGCUAGUAGGUGUGGUAAGAGCGCACCUAGGCGACGAUCAGUAGCUGGUCUGAGAGGAUGAUCAGCCACACUGGGACUGAGACACGGCCCAGACUCCUACGGGAGGCAGCAGUGGGGAAUUUUCCGCAAUGGGCGAAAGCCUGACGGAGCAAUACCGCGUGAGGGAGGAAGGCUCUUGGGUUGUAAACCUCUUUUCUCAGGGAAGAAAAAAAUGACGGUACCUGAGGAAUAAGCAUCGGCUAACUCCGUGCCAGCAGCCGCGGUAAUACGGAGGAUGCAAGCGUUAUCCGGAAUGAUUGGGCGUAAAGCGUCCGCAGGUGGCUAUGUAAGUCUGCUGUUAAAGAGUGAGGCUCAACCUCAUAAGAGCAGUGGAAACUACAUAGCUAGAGUGCGUUCGGGGCAGAGGGAAUUCCUGGUGUAGCGGUGAAAUGCGUAGAGAUCAGGAAGAACACCGGUGGCGAAAGCGCUCUGCUAGGCCGCAACUGACACUGAGGGACGAAAGCUAGGGGAGCGAAUGGGAUUAGAUACCCCCNUAGUC
rnacentral:rRNA from 1 species